CCAAAGACGAUGGAGCAGAUGAUGUUGGAAACAGCGUGGAUCAGGAAGCUGCCAGGGUUAAAGGGUUGCUCUGCAACAACAAAAAAAAAGGGUAUCUUGCUUUCAGUAUUUCUCAAGGUUUCAAGAGAAGAAACAACAACAUGAAAAGGUAUAAAAAAAUCCUAAAAGAAAACCAAGGAGUCAGAAACUGGCAACUUGGCAGCACCAAGGAUCAGCCUAUUCCAAGGAGCAACACCACCAACCCUUCUCUGCCUGACCGAUGCCACUGAAGACUCGGCAGAUGUCUCCUCAGAGGUGGGUGGUGAGUGCGAAUCGUCGGAGCUGCCUCCAGGUCUCCCCAUUGCUGGUGACGAUGCCUGACAGAGGAGGGAAAAAGGGACACCCGUGAGGAUACAGAUUUCUUUUUUCCCCUGAAUGGGAG